rnacentral:rRNA from 1 species
GCGCGAAAACUUUACAAUGCUAGCAACAGCGAUAAGGGAACCUCGAGUGCCAGGUUACAAAUCUGGCUGUCGAGAUGCCUAAAAAGCAUUUCAUAGCAAGGGCCGGGCAAGACCGGUGCCAGCCGCCGCGGUAACACCGGCGGCUCGAGUGGUAACCGUUAUUAUUGGGUCUAAAGGGUCUGUAGCCGGCCGGAUAAGUCUCUUGAGAAAUCUGGCAGCUUAACUGUCAGGCUUUCAGGAGAUACUGUCUGGCUCGAGGCCGGGAGAGGUGAGAGGUACUUCAGGGGUAGGGGUGAAAUCCUGUAAUCCUUGAAGGACCACCAGUGGCGAAGGCGUCUCACCAGAACGGACCUGACGGCAAGGGACGAAAGCUAGGGGCACGAACU